AUGGAUAACAGGUUGAUAUUCCUGUACCGCCGAUCCACCGUUUGAACAAUGGGGGGACGCAGGAGGAUAGUGACGCAUGCGGAUGGAAGUGCAUGUGCAAGUUUCAAGACCGUCUGAUUGGCAAAUCCGUCAGGCACUAAAGUCAAGGAACGAUGCGGAGUCCCGCAGGGACGUAGGUCACGAUUUCACACUGCCAAGAAAAGCCUCUAGUGAGGGGGAAGGCGCCAGUACCGUAAACCGACACAGGUAGGCGAGAUGAGAAUUCUAAGACGCGCGGGAUAACUCUCGUUAAGGAACUCGGCAAAUUGGCCCCGUAACUUCGGGAGAAGGGACGCUCUACAUGAGUAGAGCCGCAGUGAAUAGGCCCAAACGACUGUUUAGCAAAAACACAGGUCUCUGCUAAAUCGCAAGAUGACGUAUAGGGGCUGACGCCUGCCCGGUGCUGGAAGGUUAAGGGGAUGGGUUAGCGCAAGCGAAGCUCAGAAUUUAAGCCCCAGUAAACGGCGGUGGUAACUAUAACCAUCCUAAGGUAGCGAAAUUCCUUGUCGGGGAAGUUCCGACCUGCACGAAUGGAGUAACGACUUCUCCACUGUCUCAACCAUGAACUCGGCGAAAUUGCACUACGAGUAAAGAUGCUCGUUACGCGCAGCAGGACGGAAAGACCCCGGGACCUUUACUAUAGCUUGGUAUUGGUGUUCGGUACGGCUUGUGUAGGAUAGGUGGGAGACUGUGAAGCGGGCACGCCAGUGUCCGUGGAGUCAUCGUUGAAAUACCACUCUGGUCGUUCUGGAUGUCUAACCUCGGUCCGUGAUCCGGAUCAGGGACAGUGCCUGGUGGGUAGUUUAACUGGGGCGGUUGCCUCCUAAAAGGUAACGGAGGCGCCCAAAGGUUCCCUCAGCCUGGUUGGCAAUCAGGUGUCGAGUGUAAGUGCACAAGGGAGCUUGACUGUGAGACAGACAUGUCGAGCAGGGACGAAAGUCGGAACUAGUGAUCCGGCGGUGGCUUGUGGAAGCGCCGUCGCUCAACGGAUAAAAGGUACCCCGGGGAUAACAGGCUGAUCUUGCCCAAGAGUCCAUAUCGACGGCAUGGUUUGGCACCUCGAUGUCGGCUCGUCGCAUCCUGGGGCUGGAGUAGGUCCCAAGGGUUGGGCUGUUCGCCCAUUAAAGCGGUACGCGAGCUGGGUUCAGAACGUCGUGAGACAGUUCGGUCCCUAUCCGUCGUGGGCGCAGGAAAUUUGAGGAGAGCUGUCCUUAGUACGAGAGGACCGGGAUGGACGCACCGCUGGUGUACCAGUUGUUCCGCCAGGAGCAUCGCUGGGUAGCUACGUGCGGACGGGAUAAAUGCUGAAAGCAUCUAAGCAUGAAGCCCCCUCCAAGAUGAGAUUUCCCUUUGAGUAAUCAAGAAAGACCCCUCAGAGACGAUGAGGUAGAUAGGUCACGGGUGGAAGCAUGGCGACAUGUGGAGCUGAGUGAUACUAAUCGGUCGAGGCCUUGUUCUA
rnacentral:rRNA from 1 species